CAGUAUCUGAAUCCAGGCUGCUGGUUAUGCUGAUUCGUCAUGCUCUGGAUCCUAAAAUGUAGAGAUCAACAAAAGUGGAAGAAAGGAAGAGGAAAACAACUACAGACCACGGUUCCCAUGGCAAUGCUGGCCGGAUGACGUCACUUCCAGUUUUGCGGAUGUCCAGCGACCGGAAGUGCCCUGCACAAGGAUUCUGGCUUGCAGUAGCCAUGAAAAAAAAUGCUGGGAAGGGUCAUAAGGGGAGUAAGUCACGCUUAUGUGUUUUACUAUAUACAGUAUAUGUGCACUGUUUUGAUGAGUGUUAUGUCCUGAGGAAGGGGCAGCAUCCCUGAAACGUUGGCAGAAUAAACACGUUUAUGUGGUGA